rnacentral:misc_RNA from 1 species
GGGUUUCACUGUGAAGGAGAAGGAGAAGAGAAAGAUUGAGAAUGGCAUUAUCUUCAUCAAGUACGACGCUAAUCCCUUCUCUUGCUACUUCUUCUUCAUUCUCUUCUAAACCAACAGCACCAACCAAGCUCUUUGCUUCUUCUUCUUCUUCUUUGUCUGUAUUCUCCAAUUCUGUUAAUGUUGCCUUUAGCUCCCUAAAGCUAUCACCCUCAACAACCAGGGUUUUUGCUGCUCCUGAGACUUUGGAUUCUGAAGAUACUCUAGACCCACCUCCAGAAACCCUUGAUGAAUCUGACUCUGAUACUUUUCAGUUGGAGUCCCACAUUUCUUGAAAGUGAAUAUAUAACAAGGGAACCAAGCCAAAUUCGAAUUUGGUGAAGACGACCCGGAACUCGAACAACUAAACCAUACAUGCCGACAGUCUUCAGGGG